rnacentral:rRNA from 1 species
GUGCCAGCAGCCGCGGUAAUACGGAGGGUGCGAGCGUUAGUCGGAAUUACUGGGCGUAAAGGGUGCGUAGGCGGUUGAAUCAGUCGGACGUGAAAGCCACGGGCUUAACCUGGGAAUUGCAUUCGAUACUGUUCGGCUAGAGUACGAUAGAGGGUGGUGGAACUCCAGGUGUAGCGGUGAAAUGCGUAGAUAUCUGGAAGAACACCAGUGGCGAAGGCGGCCACCUGGAUCGUAACUGACGCUGAGGCACGAAAGCGUGGGGAGCAAACAGGAUUAGAUACCCUGGUAGUCCACGCCCUAAACGAUGAGAACUAGCCGCUGGGAGGAUUAACCUUUCAGUGGCGUAGCUAACGCGUUAAGUUCUCCGCCUGGGGAGUACGGCCGCAAGGUUGAAACUUAAGGGAAUUGGCGG